CAGUAGCCACGGUAAUACGAAGGGGGCUAGCGUUGUUCGGAAUUACUGGGCGUAAAGCGCACGUAGGCGGACAUUUAAGUCAGGGGUGAAAUCCCGGGGCUCAACCCCGGAACUGCCUUUGAUACUGGGUGUCUAGAGUAUGUUAGAGGUGAGUGGAAUUCCGAGUGUAGAGGUGAAAUUCGUAGAUAUUCGGAGGAACACCAGUGGCGAAGGCGGCUCACUGGACCAUUACUGACGCUGAGGUGCGAAAGCGUGGGGAGCAAACAGGAUUAGAUACCCCGGUAGUCCCUGUCUCUUAUAC
rnacentral:rRNA from 1 species